UGGGGAAUUUUGGACAAUGGGCGAAAGCCUGAUCCAGCAAUGCCGCGUGUGUGAAGAAGGCCUUCGGGUUGUAAAGCACUUUUGUCCGGAAAGAAAUCCUUGGCUCUAAUACAGUCGGGGGAUGACGGUACCGGAAGAAUAAGCACCGGCUAACUACGUGCCAGCAGCCGCGGUAAUACGUAGGGUGCAAGCGUUAAUCGGAAUUACUGGGCGUAAAGCGUGCGCAGGCGGUUUGCUAAGACCGAUGUGAAAUCCCCGGGCUCAACCUGGGAACUGCAUUGGUGACUGGCAGGCUAGAGUAUGGCAGAGGGGGGUAGAAUUCCACGUGUAGCAGUGAAAUGCGUAGAGAUGUGGAGGAAUACCGAUGGCGAAGGCAGCCCCCUGGGAUGAUACUGACGCUCAUGCACGAAAGCGUGGGGAGCAAACAGGAUUAGAUACCCUGGUAGUCCACGCCCUAAACGAUGUCAACUAGCUGUUGGGGUUUAUUAACCUUAGUAGCGCAGCUAACGCGUGAAGUUGACCGCCUGGGGGAGUACGGUCGCAAGAUUAAAAA
rnacentral:rRNA from 1 species